AUGGAGAAGUCAUACAUCUUAGUUAUCAUAACCUUCACCACAGGCUUAACUGUAGGUGAUGACAUCAGUCCUGAUAAAGAAGAAGUUUCCAGUAAUGAAGGAGAAUCAGUGACACUGAGCUGCAAUUACAGAGCAAGCAGUGACAAUAUUUUUCUGUACUGGUACAGACAGCACUCUAAUCGGGCACCACAGUACCUCCUGUUUAAAGGUGCUGGGGGAUACAGUGGUUUUGAGGAUAUUUCCAAUGACAGAUUCCAGUCUGCUACAUCCAGCACCUUCACCCAGCUCACCAUUACCAGUCUUACCAUAGCAGACACAGCCAUCUACUACUGUGCUCUGAGGGUUGCACAGUGA